AUUAUUAUCCACAAUGAACACUCAGGAUGUGACGUCACUAACUGUCACUUUCAGUUUGCUCAAACCGGUUUGAUCAAAUUAUUUGAUGGUGGGACGCGCCCUUGAGAUUCGCCUGUCAUUUUACACUUCCCAAGCAUAGAGGUAUAUAUUAACAUAGAGUGAGCCCUCACUCCGCCACCACUGACGACAAGAUCUCUUCGACUGGUUUGCGGUAUCUCUUUCUAGCACAAUGUAUCGAGAAACAUAACAUGAAACUAAGUGGGGGUACGGGACGGCAAGUGAAAUAAGGAGAAUUACUUUAUUCUUCUUUUUUCUUUAAUUAUUAUGACAAGUGACAAGACAACAUAACCCAAAUAAUUUAAUCCGGCCCUAUUUCUAUUUUUGAACAAAAUGUUGGAAAUAUCUUAGUUUAUUUUUAGUUCUAGCUUAUUUAUGGCUAGAUUGAAAAUCUGAAUUUUCUAAUAUUGGUUCAUGAUUAUCAUCAGGGACUUGAUUCGGUUCUUAAACAGGAUCUCUUUUAGUCCCAAUCACUGCAGCAGUGGAGCUAUGUUUUUAUUUUCACGGUGCUAGUAGAUGGCGAAUAAAUCGUUUAAUUUUCAAUAUUUUUUUAUGAAAAUUGUUUCACAUGUACUUUUUAUAACAAAUGUUCAGUAGUAAUAACCAGAGGACAUUGAUAAUUGUUCGAAAAAUUUUUAUAACAGAUUUCGAAAGCUUGUUCCUUGGAAACAGACCGACGCCGUAGGCGGAGGUCUGUUGCCUGUAAGCAACAAGCUUGAGAAAGUUGUUAAAAAAUUUUUGAGCAUUUAUCAAUGUUCGAGGGUUAUUCGGAUAGAAAAUUUUUUGCUGAUAUAAAAUUAAUAAUAAUUUCAUUAAUAUUCUCAUCAGUAUUACAACCAAAUCGUGACAUUUUGAAAUAUUGAAUAUUUGAAAUGUCAAAAUUGAAAUGAAACGAAAUGUAGGUAUCCAUAGCUACAUGAUUGACUGAAAACAGCCCAUGGGAUCUGUUUUCAGUAUAAUGUUGGUUUUAUUGGUUGUAUUCAAUCAGAUGACCACAAAUUAAUUGAUUUCAUUGGAUUUCUAAUUGAGCAAAAAAUUUUCAAAAUAAUUGGUACAGUACUUUUUAUUUUAGAAAUUCCCAAAAAAGUAUAUGAAUUUCAUACUUUUACACUAGGAUAGCCCCUUAAGAAAGGUAAAUUUCUAGAGCUGCCUAAAGACAGCCAUCAUUAUUCCUCUUCAUAAGGGUGGUGAAAAAUCUAAUGCCUGCAAUUAUAGACCUAUUGCAUUACUACUGGUACUAUCAAAUAGGACUCAUAUUACACAAGUAUAAAAACUUGUUGCUGGUAUGAGCACAUUGUGUAAAUGUUAGGAUUUAAAGAGGAUAUAAAAACCUUCAAUACAAUUAUGAGCGUUAGUCUCUUUAUAUCCUAACAUUUUUUUUGUUAUUGUUUUAGUUUAUUAUUGUUUUUUAUGACUCUGUAAGUUUUGUGUAUAAAUUCUACAAUUUUCCAUGACAAUAAAGCAUUUUUCUAUUCUAAGUUGUCUAUUUGUUAAACCAAAGCAUUGAUUAUUAUUACAAAAUAUUAAUAUAAUCAAUUAAAUAAUAAUAUUAAUCUCACAAACAAUAUAGGAAGUAUAGUUAAAAAGAAUAAACAUAGUAAUCCACAAGGAAAUAAAUCUGCACAUAGCUAUAGCCCAAAGUAACUUCUGUUGUUUAUCCAAAUCUUCAAUAGUCAAAAACAUUUGUGUAAAAUUAGAUUCCAGCAGUUUCUCCUUUUCCUACAUUUAAAAUAGCUGGUGUUUAUUCCUAAAAACAACAAAUACAUAAAUAAAAACUCUAAAUUGUAUACCAUAAAAAAAUCAUACAAAUAUGACAAAAUAUCACAAGAGUAUUUUAACAUUAUUUAAGGACAAUUGCCAUAAUAAGCCACAACAAAAAUGUAUUAAGCGAAAAAGCUAUAGAGCUGAAACAGGAAGUUGCUAUGUUUGGUCUAUAUAUUAAUGAAAGUAAAAAAAAAUACCUAAAUGGAAUAUAACAAUGGGUCUUAUCGGUAAUAAGAAGUGUUUUUAUGCAUACAAAGACGUAAUGAAAAGUAAGUUACUGUUACUGAAUCGUGAGUAUAAGCUUAGAAUCUACAAAACAGUAAUUACACCAGUGGUCACAUAUGGAUGUGAAAUGUGGACCAUCUCAACCACUAAUGAAAAUCAACUGAGAAUAUUUGAGCGUAAAAUACUAAGGAACAUAUUUGGACCAACACAUUGUAAAGAUGGUUCAUGGAUAAUUAAAAUGAACCACAAGCUGAAUGAACUAAUGCAGAGCACAGAUAUUGUUAGAUUUGUAAAGUGUCAAAGACUAAACUUUCUUGGUCGCUUAGCAAAAAUGUCAGAUAAUCGAGCUGUGAUGUCAGAGAUGGAAGCCCCAAGGAAAUAUAACAAGAGGAAGGCCCUGUAACAGAUGGAUAGACGAUGUAGAGAAGGAUCUUAAAACCAUAAAUAUCAGGCAGUGGUGCAGGAAAGUAGCAACAGGGCAGAAUAGAAGAAUGCUGUUAAGCAGGCAAAGAUUUACAAAUGGUUGUAGUGUCAUUAGAAGAAGAAGAUUUAAGGACAGUUUAGGCAGGCUAUAUGCAUUAAGGCAUUAUUAAGCUUUGCAUUUAACCAUAUUGUAAUACACUAUAUCUUACAUGGUCAA